rnacentral:misc_RNA from 1 species
AGCAGCCGCGGUAAUUCCAGCUCCAAUAGCGUAUAUUAAAGUUGUUGCAGUUAAAAAGCUCGUAGUUGAAUUUCGGGAUCAAGGAAUCGGUCAUGCCUCGGUAUGUACUGGUUUUAUUGGUUCUCACCUUCUAAAGAACCAUGAUGUCAUUCAUUUGAUGUUAUGGGGAAUUAGGACUGUUACCUUGAAAAAAUUUAGAGUGUUUAAAGCAAGCUUACGCUUGAAUACAUUAGCAUGGAAUAAUGAAAUAGGACAUCCGAUUCUAUUUUGUUGGUUUCUAGGAUCGAUGUAAUGAUUAAUAGGGAUAGUUGGGGGCAUUAGUAUUCAAUUGUCAGAGGUGAAAUUCUUGGAUUUAUUGAAGACUAACUACUGCGAAAGCAUUUGCCAAGGAUGUUUUCAUUAAUCAAGAACGAAAGUUAGGGGAUCGAAGACGAUCAGAUACCGUCGUAGUCUUAACCAUAAACUAUGCCGACUAGGGAUCGGAUGAUGUUAAUUUUUUAAUGACUCAUUCGGCGCCUUA